ACGGCUACAUCACGUUAAAAAAAACCGCUUCCCGUACGACCGCCAAAGUUAAACAAUGUCGAGCCUGGUCAGUACCUAGAUGGGUGACCGCAUAGGUAUAACAGGUGCUGUAA